rnacentral:rRNA from 1 species
GACAGAGGGUGCAAACGUUGUUCGGAAUUACUGGGCGUAAAGCGCACGUAGGCGGCGCCGUAAGUCAGGGGCGAAAUCCCGGAGCUCAACUCCGGAACUGCCCUUGAAACUGCAGUGCUAGAAUCCUGGAGAGGCGAGUGGAAUUCCGAGUGUAGAGGUGAAAUUCGUAGAUAUUCGGAAGAACACCAGUGGCGAAGGCGACUCGCUGGACAGGUAUUGACGCUGAGGUGCGAAAGCGUGGGGAGCAAACAGG